AUUGAACGCUGGCGGCAUGCCUAAUACAUGCAAGUCGAACGAGAGGAAGGAAAGCUUGCUUUUCUGAAUCUAGUGGCGAACGGGUGAGUAACACGUAGGUAACCUGCCCAUGUGCCCGGGAUAACUUCUGGAAACGGAUGCUAAAACCGGAUAGGUAGCAGACAAGCAUUUGACUGCUAUUAAAGUGGCUAAGGCCAUGAACAUGGAUGGACCUGCGGUGCAUUAGCUAGUUGGUGAGGUAACGGCCCACCAAGGCGACGAUGCAUAGCCGGCCUGAGAGGGCGGACGGCCACAUUGGGACUGAGACACGGCCCAAACUCCUACGGGAGGCAGCAGUAGGGAAUUUUCGUCAAUGGGGGGAACCCUGAACGAGCAAUGCCGCGUGAGUGAGGAAGGUCUUCGGAUCGUAAAGCUCUGUUGUAAGAGAAAAACGACAUUCAUAGGGAAUGAUGAGUGAGUGUUGGUAUCUUACCAGAAAGUCACGGCUAACUACGUGCCAGCAGCCGCAGUAACAC
rnacentral:rRNA from 1 species